rnacentral:rRNA from 1 species
GACGAAGGAUGCAAGCGUUAUCCGGAUUCAUUGGGUUUAAAGGGUGCGUAGGCGGACUGAUAAGUCAGUGGUGAAAUCUCUUUGCUUAACAAAGAAACUGCCAUUGAUACUGUCGGUCUAGAGUAUAGAUGACGUUGGCGGAAUAUAACAUGUAGUGGUGAAAUACUUAGAUAUGUCAUAGAACACCGAUUGCGAAGGCAGCUAACGAAACUAUAACUGACGCUGAGCACGAAAGUGCGGGGAUCAAACAGG